GGGGCCACCGGAGGAAAACAAUACCGUUGGACCACGGAAAGAAAAGUCCAUUUGGCCUCAGACUAAGUCCCCAGAGUCAACCCAUUUUUGCAUUCGAGUGGAAGGACCCAGAAUUGGGAAUUUCAGGUCAGCUAACCUGGACAAGGCUACCACAAGGAUUUAAGAACAGCCCCACGUUAUUCGAUGAGGCCCUCCACCAGGACCUAGCCGAUUUCCGGAUCCUUGCAGAAACGCAUGGAACACGACCUGACCUAACCAAC